UACGGAAGGUUCGGGCGUUAUCCGGAUUUAUUGGGUUUAAAGGGAGCGCAGGUGGGCUGUUAAGUCAGCCGUGAAAGUUCGAUGCUCAACAUUGAAAUUGCGGUUGAAACUGUCAGUCUUGAGUAAACGCAGCGGCGCUGGAAUUCGUGGUGUAGCGGUGAAAUGCUUAGAUAUCACGAAGAACUCCGAUCGCGAAGGCAGGUGCCGGGAGUUAUACUGACACUGAGGCUCGAAAGUGCGGGUAUCAAAC
rnacentral:rRNA from 1 species